UGCUUCCAGGGGUGAAUACCUUAUGCUGUUUUGUGGAAACGGGUGGGGAGAAGACUUCAUUCCCCUCAGCUGCACCUUGGCUACAAAAUAAACCAGUUGCAGAGGGCUAGUGAAAUAGUGAAUGUGGUAGGGGAGUGAACAGGUGAAGCAACUGAUCCUUGUGGGCCCAGGUUGGACUCAGGAUUUUGAGUGAAGAAGGACACACUGACAGCAUUCAAACUCGGAAGGAAAGAGUCCCCAUGAGGUGGGGAACUGAAGAAGGAAUGGACAUUUCAGCAACUGAAGCAAUCAAGGGAGGAAAAGGUGUGCUAAGACCUUGGUUUUCAGCUGUUGCAUUUCAGUGGGAAGCACAGGACAUAGGACAAGGACAGCUGAAAACAAG
rnacentral:lncRNA from 1 species